rnacentral:misc_RNA from 1 species
GAAAUGCGAUAAGUAAUGUGAAUUGCAGAAUUCAGUGAAUCGUCGAAUCUUUGAACGCACAUUGCGCCCGCCAGUAUUCUGGCGGGCAUGCCUGUUCGAGCGUCAUUACAACCCUCAGGCCCCCGGGCCUGGCGUUGGGGAUCGGCGGAAGCCCCCUGCGGGCACAACGCCGUCCCCCAAAUACAGUGGCGGUCCCGCCGCAGCUUCCAUUGCGUAGUAGCUAACACCUCGCAACUGGAGAGCGGCGCGGCCACGCCGUAAAACACCCAACUUCUGAAUGUUGACCUCGAAUCAGGUAGGAAUACCCGCUGAACUUAAGC